rnacentral:rRNA from 1 species
AGUGAACGCUGGCGGUAGGCCUAACACAUGCAAGUCGAACGGCAGCACAGUAAGAGCUUGCUCUUACGGGUGGCGAGUGGCGGACGGGUGAGGAAUACAUCGGAAUCUACUUUUUCGUGGGGGAUAACGGAGGGAAACUUACGCUAAUACCGCAUACGACCUACGGGUGAAAGCAGGGGAGCUUCGGACCUUGCGCGAUUGAAAGAGCCGAUGUCGGAUUAGCUAGUUGGCGGGGUAAAGGCCCACCAAGGCGACGAUCCGUAGCUGGUCUGAGAGGAUGAUCAGCCACACUGGAACUGAGACACGGUCCAGACUCCUACGGGAGGCAGCAGUGGGGAAUAUUGGACAAUGGGCGCAAGCCUGAUCCAGCCAUACCGCGUGGGUGAAGAAGGCCUUCGGGUUGUAAAGCCCUUUUGUUGGGAAAGAAAAGCAGCAGGUUAAUCCCCCGCUGUUCUGACGGUACCCAAAGAAUAAGCACCGGCUAACUUCGUG